GCUGGAGUGGUGGAACGGCAUACACGUCGGUCUCAAAAACCGAUAAGCGCAAGCUUGUGAGGGUUCAAGUCCCUCCUCCAGCACCA
rnacentral:tRNA from 1 species